rnacentral:misc_RNA from 1 species
CGUGGCAAUGGUUCAUCAUCACCAAACUGCCAAUUACACAGAAUCUCCUGAUCAUCACCAUAAUCUGGUUGUUGUAUAGAUUCCCCUGCUCCAGGCAGUAGAGAAUUAAAGGUCACUUCUCCAUCUUUGCCACCUUUUCGCUUCAAUAAGACUGGAUCAGGUCUGAUUAUUGUGCCAAGAAUACUCCGGUUUGGACCCAGCCCUAAAAUGGUCUUAACAUUUGUCAAGAUUGAAAAUGCCAUUGCAAAUGCAGAUCUUAUCUGGAAGUAAUUGAAGGAAUUCUUGCCGAUG